UGAAAACAAAAGUAAGCUCUCUCGUUUAAUAUUGCUCUCUCUUCUCUCUAAUCGUCUUCCACCUCCAAGCUCUGAUUUUCCGGCCGACGCAGAUGGGUUUCCGCAGCCAUAGCGUCGGUCCGGUUUGUCUCUUUGUUCUCUCUCCUUAGAUUUGUUUGUGUUUUUAUGGCUGUCAGAACUUGGAUUUUCAAUAUCAGAUCUUGAAUACAUUGAUAAAUCUGAAGGAUGGUCUCAGUUUGGCUUUGAAUGUGGUUAGCUUCUCUGAUGCCUUGAGUGUUGGAUUCUAUGUCGCCUGAUUCGCGAUCUCCUCUUCGGUUUCAAGCUCCGGUCUCCUUUUCUAUGAUUUAUCUGUGGUGAUGCUCGUGGUCCUUCGAUGUUUCUGAAGCAAUUUAACGAGUUCUGGCUUCGUCUUCCUCAAUAAGUCCGAAUGUUGUUCUAUGCUCCAUCAAAUCCAUCUUCCCGGUUAUCGUCUGUCUCCUCUUUCCAAGGCGUUAUUUGUUUUUCUGAUCUGAUAUUUUUGUAGUCUUUGAUUUGUUUGUUCACUUCAUCUUUGUUGUUUGUUUUAGCUUGCCUUUCUCAGGGCUUUAUUCUAGAAGAACUUGUUCAUGCUCGCUUUGUAUCCCUCAAAUGCAUUUUUCCAUGUAUUUCAGUAUUAGUAUUUCACCUGUGAUGUUACUUUAA